rnacentral:lncRNA from 1 species
CUUCCCCACGGAGCACCAGCAGCACUCCAGUGUCAGCGCUGCAGUCACUGCUGCUUUUGCCUCCGCACAAGAAAUCGAUGAGUACUUUGAUCUUGGCUUUCUUGCCUGGCAGUAGUCUCCAGGGACGACAGCGUGAGGUCUUCUGAAUGGUGAAAGCUGAGACUCAACUGUUCUGCAGGAGACCCUGAAACCUGGAAAGAGCAGAUUCUCCUUCAGUUGGUGCUGAUCUCCAAGGUAACAGCAGCCACAGUGCUGAGCGUGGGACCUCACGGGGCUCAGGCCUGUCAGCUGCGCGUGGGACCUCACGGGGCUCAGGCCUGUCAACUGCAAAGGAAACGCCUUGGGAACAGUCCUUAACUUCCAUCCAUAACUACUGUUGUCCUUCUCGAAUGAUGCGUGGAACCAGAAAAGCCACUGGAGACCACAAAAUUCUUUGCUGGUGUUUUCUUUCACUUCAACCGAGGUGGAGUGUCACCGAUCUGCCGGUUUUGUCUCCAUGUUAGGAGAAGCUUAACAUGACAAGUAGACCACACCACUGGGAGUAACAGGCUCAGCACUUCACGUACAGCCAAGGUUGCCAGUGUUCUGAUGCUACAUCGCCAGAGCCCAGGAGGCCCAUGUCAGCCAUCAGUCAGAGUGGAGAGGAAGUGAUAAUGGCAGUGGCUUCUCAAAGGUCUGUUACCUCCUUAUGAGAAGGCACCAAGUUUGGUUGAAUGUGGCCAAGCAACAGCAAUGCAGGUGUGGUGCACUGGGUAUAAGGUCUCAACAGUGGUGCCUCUCAAAGCAGUUUUGGAUUUAGGAGGUG